rnacentral:rRNA from 1 species
UACGUAGGGUGCAAGCGUUGUCCGGAAUUAUUGGGCGUAAAGGGCUCGUAGGCGGUUUGUCGCGUCGGGAGUGAAAACUCAGGGCUUAACCCUGAGCCUGCUUCCGAUACGGGCAGACUAGAGGUAUGCAGGGGAGAAUGGAAUUCCUGGUGUAGCGGUGAAAUGCGCAGAUAUCAGGAGGAACACCGGUGGCGAAGGCGGUUCUCUGGGCAUUACCUGACGCUGAGGAGCGAAGGUGUGGGGAGCGAACAGG